ACCCAGCUGAUGAGUUCUAAGUAGGACGAAACGCGCAUCCUGUAU
rnacentral:hammerhead_ribozyme from 1 species